ensembl:snRNA U6 U6 spliceosomal RNA
UUGCUUUCGCAGCACAUACACUAAAAUUGGAACGAUACAGAGAAGAAUGGCCCCUGCGCGAGGACGACACACAAAUUUGUGAAGCAUUCCAUAUUUUU